CGAGAAACCGUCAAACAUGACUGAACAAAUGGAACCACGCUAUCCGAAGAGAAUAAGAAAAGAACCAUCGCAUUUAAAGGAUUUUGUGUUGAAAUAAAUGGUUGAUUUAUAAAGAGGCAUAAUAAUCCUCACAACCGUUUGAAGUGCAUUAAGUACUUCGCAGUGCAUGUGUGUACAUAUCAAUUAGUGUAAGAAAUAACAACAAGACCAGUGCGAACAUUUUUAUUUUUAUUUUCAUAGUAGGACAUUAUAGUUUCAGUGCAGACAAACUUUAACGAAUGAAUCGUUGUGAUCUGACAUUUUUAUUUGUUUCAAACUGAUAUGGACUUAUCAAUCAGUAGCCGUGAAAAGACAUUAAUUUUCUGUAAUUGAGUUAAUUUGUUUUUAAUUUGUUUUUAUCUAAGGCCGGAGAAGUGUUAUAAAGUUCACCUCACUUUAUUACCGUAUCAUCUGUUACAGUAAUUAUAAUUGACAGAUCAGCAACUCUCACAUGUCUGCACAUUCUUAAAUAAACAUGUAAUUAAAUAGAUCAAUUGAAGUUCUUAUACACAUGUUGUCAUUCUGUAGUCUGACCAUCAAACGAUGUACUUGUUAAUAAAUUAGUUA
rnacentral:lncRNA from 1 species